UACGUAGGGUGCGAGCGUUGUCCGGAAUUACUGGGCGUAAAGAGCUCGUAGGUGGUUUGUCGCGUUGUUCGUGAAAACUCACAGCUUAACUGUGGGCGUGCGGGCGAUACGGGCAGACUGGAGUACUGCAGGGGAGACUGGAGUUCCUGGUGUAGCGGUGGAAUGCGCAGAUAUCAGGAGGAACACCGGUGGCGAAGGCGGGUCUCUGGGCAGUAACUGACGCUGAGGAGCGAAAGCGUGGGGAGCGAACAGG
rnacentral:rRNA from 1 species